rnacentral:rRNA from 1 species
ACUCCUGCGGGAGGCAGCAGUGGGGAAUAUUGCACAAUGGGCGCAAGCCUGAUGCAGCCAUGCCGCGUGUAUGAAGAAGGCCUUCGGGUUGUAAAGUACUUUCAGCGGGGAGGAAGGCAAUACGGUUAAUAACCGUGUUGAUUGACGUUACCCGCAGAAGAAGCACCGGCUAACUCCGUGCCAGCAGCCGCGGUAAUACGGAGGGUGCAAGCGUUAAUCGGAAUUACUGGGCGUAAAGCGCACGCAGGCGGUCUGUCAAGUCGGAUGUGAAAUCCCCGGGCUCAACCUGGGAACUGCAUUCGAAACUGGCAGGCUUGAGUCUUGUAGAGGGGGGUAGAAUUCCAGGUGUAGCGGUGAAAUGCGUAGAGAUCUGGAGGAAUACCGGUGGCGAAGGCGGCCCCCUGGACAAAGACUGACGCUCAGGUGCGAAAGCGUGGGGAGCAAACAGGAUUAGAAAACCCGAGUAGUCCCAU